AGUGAACGCUGGCGGCGUGCCUAAUACAUGCAAGUCGAACGAAGUGGCGCACGGGUGAGUAAUAUAUAGUUAAUCUGCCCUACACAGAGGAACAACAGCUGGAAACGACUGCGAAUACCUCAUAGUGUAGGAUGAGACUAUAUCGUAUCAGCUAGUUGGUAAGGGAAUGGCUUACCAAGGCUAUGACGCGUAACUGGUCUGAGAGGAUGAGCAGUCACAUUGUAACUGAGACACGGUUCAAACUCCUACGGCAGGCAGCAGUAAGGAAUAUUAGGCAAUGGGGGAAACUCUGACGCAGCAACGCCUCGUGGAGGAUGACACUUUUAGGAGCGUAAAUUCCUUCUAUCAGGAAAGCGGUACCUGAUGAAUAAGCACCGGCUAACUCCGUGCCAGCAGCCGCGGUAAUAC
rnacentral:rRNA from 1 species